GACGAACGCUGGCGGCGUGCCUAACACAUGCAAGUCGAACGGUCCGGCACUCAACCGACCCUCAGUCUAACUGUAGGGGAAGUUGAGUGCCGGGUAGUGGCGGACGGGUGAGUAACGCGUGGGCAACCAACCCUGUACAGUGGGAUAACACCGGGAAACCGGUGCUAAUACCGCAUGACACCUAUAUGGUGCAUACCGUAUAGGUUAAAGGAUUUAACCGGUACAGGACGGGCCCGCGUCCCAUUAGCUAGUUGGUGAGGUAACGGCCCACCAAGGCGACGAUGGGUAGCCGACCUGAGAGGGUGACCGGCCACACUGGGACUGAGACACGGCCCAGACUCCUACGGGAGGCAGCAGUGGGGAAUAUUGCGCAAUGGGGGGAACCCUGACGCAGCGACGCCGCGUGAGCGACGAAGGCCUUCGGGUCGUAAAGCUCUGUUCUUGGGACGAAGGAAAUGACGGUACCCAAGGAGAAAGCCCCGGCUAACUACGUG
rnacentral:rRNA from 1 species